rnacentral:misc_RNA from 1 species
GGCAACGCCGAUGCUGACUUGCUGAGCUGAGCUGAGUAACUUUUUGAAAACGACGAUUUCAUGUCGUGAAAAUGUUAUAAGCUCGUCUCCUUUUAUGAUAAAAAUUAUUUAAGUAGUUUACUUUUCUAGACUCUCCUAUCAAAUUUAGGAUUCAUCGUUUCAUUGUUUUAGUUGUUAGAAAUUCUUUAGGCGUUCUGGCUAGCGUUAGCGUAUAGUGAAAUCAGAAAGCAUGGUCAAUCAAUGUCGGCAGCACUAAUAUUUCUCGUUUUCUCUGUUUGUUAAGUAACUAUAUGAAAUUCUAGGAUAGUUCAAUUGAAAAAGGAUUGAAGUCUUUCGAAUUAUCAAGAGAAUUCGAAAAGUGAAGUAGUCAAAGCCAGCAAAGUUAUUCUAUAACUUCAUAGCGAUGAAAACCAUCUAGAAUCAUAUUACUUAAAAGCCAUGGCAAAACGAAACAAACAUAAAAAGGCUUUAGCUGCUUCUACAAAGAAAGAAAACCAUCAGACAAUCCAUCAUGAAAAUGUACUAGGCCCAGUGACGGAAGCUCAAGUUGGUAUACAAGAAUACGCCAAAAAAGGAAAACCAUUUUCAGCUCAUUUGAAGCAAUGUUAUUCAGAUUUCCAGGUUCAUGAAAUUAGCAUGGAUGGGAAAAUUGUCCAUUUAACAGAUCUCAGUCAGCUGAACCCUGAACAGAAAAAAGAAAGACUUUCAGUGAGAAGAAAGUCCAAAGAUAAUGCAGUACCACAUGUAUCUUCAUACACUGAAUUUGUAUUGUACAUGGAAAAUCAAGAAACAGUUGAUGCAAAUUUUGUACUUGCCAAAAUCGCCAAGAAAAAUAAGAUACAUUCACCGGAAUUCAUGACUGCCUUUUCAACACAUGAAAAAGGAACAAUCACUAGUCAGCUCGUAACUGCUAAUAAGAAUUUAGAUCCAACGAAAAUGAAAUGCGAUUUGAAAUCAGAGUCCAAGUUAGCUUUCGGAAAUUUUACCUUUACCGACAAACCAGUCCAACAAGGAAGUCUGAAGGGUAAUCGUUUCGUCAUUGCAUUGAGGAAUGUUAACGGUGAUAAGAUUCAAAUUGAUUCUAAUCUCAAGUCACUGAAAGAAUACGGUUUUAUAAAUUAUUAUGGAACUGAAUGUUUUGGAACAAGGACUCACUUAAUUGGAAAACAACUAUUAUUAAACCAGUGGAAAGAAGCUAUCGAUUUGAUUGCAGAGGUAUUCAAGGGGCAUGAACACUUGCACUCAAUGGAAACCCAGCUCUUAUCUUACAUGAAGAAUCAUGGUGGAGAUCUCGUUGGCGCUUUGAAUACCAUCCCCUUUGAAAUGCGGCUUUCUUAUAUUCACGCCUAUCAAAGUUUCAUCUGGAACAGUAUCGUUUCUAAGCGUAUUGCAGAAUUUGGUGUAAAGCCGAUUCUAGGCGAUUUAGUUCAUGCUCGAAGCGUUGACGAACUGCAAGAAAUGGGCAAUGAUGACAGCAAUUCCAGUAACCAAUCGGAAUGCAGUAAUCAAACAAUCGUGUCCAUCGACAAAAACAACAUCCCGAACUACACAAUAGCCGAUGUUGUGUUACCGCUUCCGGGUUACGAUGUAACUUAUCCUGACAACGAGGUUGCCGAUUGGUAUAAAGAUCUUCUACUAGCGGAUGGGCUGUCGGAGGUGGAUUUCGAAAGAAGCGCCAAGAAUCAUAGCCUUUCUGGAGCGUACCGUAACCUGAUUUUGAAGCCUUCUGAUUUCAACUGGAGAUUUUUAUGGUACAGUAAUCCAACGGAGAGGCUUAUAUUAUCUGAUUUGGAUCGACUGGAAAAGACUCAGUUCCUACACACGGCAGUGACAGAGGAGCAAACGGACCAGGAAAAGAGGAUUACUAGGAGUGGUCAACUAAAACAAAAGAAUUCCCCAAUGCCAAAAACCUUGGAGUCACCAGAGCCAGUUAAGAAGGAACCCGUUCUUUCUUCUUCAGGUGAUUCGGAAGACGAUAGACGCGACGCCAAACCAAUGUCGUACGACGAAAAAAAACAAUUGAGUUCUAACAUCCGAAUGAUUCCAGGUAAAAAGCUUGGCCGAGUAGUCCAUAUUUUCCGUUCACUUGAGCCAGAGUUAGCUGGUUGGGAUCCUGAUGAAGUUGUACUAGAUUUGGAAGCUCUUCAACCGCUGACUCUCCGAUCACUUGAAACAUACGUGGAAUCUUGUCUAAGCCCGAAGCCUCUUAAAACAUACGGAAAAAAGCAAUCGGAUAUAAAGAUGGAAGAGACAUUGGAUCUAAAGGAAAAUUUUACACCCAAGAAGGUUCAUCGCAAAGGUGUUGCAAUUGUAAAUCGUAUAAUUGUAAAUUGUGUGUUAACGUGUUGCAGAAAAUGUCAAAAACGCUGAAUGCCUUGUUAGUCAAGUUGGUUCCGGCAUUGGAUUGAGUUCUAAUGCUUCAGCUCUCACGGAUUUGGAAACGGGUGAUGAUAUUGAUUAUCUCGGUCUUAUUCUCGAAUUCAACCUACCGCCGUCAUCUUACGCCUCCAUGGUCGUUAGAGAAAUCAUGAAGGUAGACAACAGUGCAGUGUUGGGGAAACAAAACGAUCCCAUCCAACAUUCUUCACAAGCAAGUUUGAAGUCCUCAGACUCCGAGGGA